rnacentral:rRNA from 1 species
GCGGAGGAAAAGAAACUAACAAGGAUUCCCCUAGUAACUGCGAGUGAAGCGGGAAAAGCUCAAAUUUAAAAUCUGGUGGUCUUUGGCCAUCCGAGUUGUAAUCUAGAGAAGUGUUACCCGCGUCGGACCGUGUACAAGUCUCCUGGAAUGGAGCGUCAUAGAGGGUGAGAAUCCCGUCUUUGACACGGACUACCGAGGCUUUGUGGUGCGCUCUCAACGAGUCGAGUUGUUUGGGAAUGCAGCUCAAAAUGGGUGGUAAAUUCCAUCUAAAGCUAAAUAUUGGCGAGAGACCGAUAGCGAACAAGUACCGUGAGGGAAAGAUGAAAAGAACUUUGGAAAGAGAGUUAAACAGUACGUGAAAUUGCUAAAAGGGAAACGCUUGAAGUCAGUCGCGUUGGCCGGAAAUCAGCCUUGCUUUUGCUGGGUGUACUUUCUGGUUGACGGGCCAGCAUCAGUUUUGACCGGUGGAAAAAGGUCAAGGGAAUGUGGCAUCUUCGGAUGUGUUAUAGCCCUUGGUUGUAUGCAUCGGUUGGGACUGAGGAACUCAGCACGCCGCAAGGCCGGGUCUUUGACCACGUUCGUGCUUAGGAUGCUGGCAUAAUGGCUUUAAUCGACCCGUCUUGAAACACGGACCAAGGAGUCUAACAUGCCUGCGAGUGUUUGGGUGGAAAACCCGGACGCGUAAUGAAAGUGAAAGUCGAGAUCCCUGUCAUGGGGAGCAUCGACGCCCGGACCAGAAGUUCUCUGACGGCCCUGCGGUAGAGCAUGUAUGUUGGGACCCGAAAGAUGGUGAACUAUGCCUGAAUAGGGUGAAGCCAGAGGAAACUCUGGUGGAGGCUCGUAGCGAUU